rnacentral:rRNA from 1 species
AGGAAAAGAAACCAACAGGGAUUGCCCUAGUAACGGCGAGUGAAGCGGCAACAGCUCAAAUUUGAAAUCUGGCGCAAGCCCGAGUUGUAAUUUGUAGAGGAUGCUUCUAGGUAGCGACCGGUCUAAGUUCCUUGGAACAGGACGUCAUAGAGGGUGAGAAUCCCGUAUGUGACUGGCCCGCACCUUCUACGUAGCUCCUUCGACGAGUCGAGUUGUUUGGGAAUGCAGCUCUAAAUGGGAGGUAAAUUUCUUCUAAAGCUAAAUACCGGCCAGAGACCGAUAGCGCACAAGUAGAGUGAUCGAAAGAUGAAAAGCACUUUGGAAAGAGAGUUAAAAAGCACGUGAAAUUGUUGAAAGGGAAGCGCUCACAACCAGACUUCUAGGCAGUGUUCCGCCGGUCUUUUGACCGGUCUACUCUCUGUCUCGAGGCCAACAUCAUCUGGGACCGCCGGAUAAGACCUUAGGAAUGUAGCUCCCCUCGGGGAGUGUUAUAGCCUCUGGUGAUGCGGCGCGUCUCGGGUGAGGUCCGCGCUUCGGCAAGGAUGUUGGCGUAAUGGUUGUCAGCGGCCCGUCUUGAAACACGGACCAAGGAGUCUAACAUCUAUGCGAGUGUUCGGGUGUCAAACCCCUACGCGUAAUGAAAGUGAACGGAGGUGGGAAGCGUAAGCUGCACCAUCGACCGAUCCUGAUGUCCUCGGAUGGAUUUGAGUAAGAGCAUAGCUGUUGGGACCCGAAAGAUGGUGAACUAUGCCUGAAUAGGGUGAAGCCAGAGGAAACUCUGGUGGAGGCUCGCAGCGGUUCUGACGUGCAAAUCGAUCGUCAAAUUUGGGUAUAGGGGCGAAA